GCUUCCCUGUACCCAAUGGGACGCCCCAGAGGCGUGCGUACGUACGACCCGCUGACACCUCCCACCUCUUCACCUUCUCGGCGUGGAAACCGCGAGAGCGAGGUAGAGCGUUAGUACUUGCAGCGCUUGUGUCAGGUUUCUCAGUGGUUCCUCUAAUGUACUCCUGCAUCUUUGCACUCUCAUAUCGAUGAGAAAGGUGCGCCACCCAGUAUUCCUGGGUUGGGACCAAAAUGCAAGCCACUGUAUAUUCCUCAAAUUAUGAGGGCAAGGAUUUUCUAUGGUUAUUGGAAUGGAAUCUGAAGCCCUACUGACUGGAAUCCAAUCCUGUCUUCACCGCGUCCUUUGCUCUAAGCCCAGUGUGGGGCUUGAACUCAGGACCCUGAGAUCAGGAGUUGCAUGUUCCGUGGACUGAGCCAGCCAGGUGCCCCUCAAGGGAGAGGGUUGAUCAACCUGCUGACGGUGGAGAAAAUGAGUCCAAAGCCUCCUCGUUGAGAGGUUUUCGUUUCUGCGUGAAGGAAGGAAAAUGAAAACAGCAAGUUCUCACAGUGGUGGUGGUUGCAGAACAACACAUUUCAGGAUGACAGCGGAAGAGGCAAGGUCAACAUUACAUGGUGAUCCAGAUGAGACCCAAAGGAGAUGAACCUCUGAGGAACUAACAAUCCCCAGAACCCUGCAAAGUACUCACCUUAGUACCUGGCGCUCUCCGCUUCUGUGAGUCAUCUUCUUGCUUUUAGUUCGUCCAGAGAUUUCAUCUAUUGGAAAAGACAUCUACAGAAAGACUCUUCAACUCCGUUGGAAGGGCCCCUAUCAGGUACUGUUAAUGAAUCCUUGUGCUGCCAAACUCCGAGGAAUGACUCUUGGAUCCAUGCAUCACAUCUUUUUUUUUUUUUUAAGAUUCAAUUUUUUAAGUAAUCUCUCCACCCAAUGUGGGGCUCAAACUCACAACUCCGAGAUCAAGAGUUGCACAUUCCUGCGACUGACCCAGCCAGGCAUCCCCCCAUGUGUCACAUGUAAAGAAAGAACCAAACCCUGACUAGAUCUGCACACCGAGUACCUGGAAAUAAAGAUUCCCGGGAAUUGAAGCAGAUGACAGCUGAAGGAGACAGCUUUCCUAAGAUGACUGGACCAGACCUGUGUACCUUUUUCUUGCUGUUGCUUCUUACUUUAUUUCCUCCCUUUCUUUGAUGGUCUGAUCUGUUGCAAAAGGGGAACCUUUUUUGACUGUUGGAUCUGACACCAGAAACUUUGAUUUGUUCUUCCCUAUUUAUUAUUUGUUUCCCUGAAUCCAAGGGAAAUACAAAUGAGAUAACUCCUCUUUGCAAGGCUUUUUAAAAAAAGAUUUUUAUUUAUUUUUUAGAGAGUGUGUGCAAAACCGAGUG